UUUCCGUAGGUGAACCUGCGGAAGGAUCAUUACCGAGAGGGGCUCCGGCUCCAGGGGGUUCGCCCCCGCAUCUCAACCCCGUGAAAAUCAUACCUUUGUUGCUUUGGCGGGCCUUGGGGUUACGCUCAUGCUGGGUUCCGCCCGGCGAGUGCCCGCCAGAAGCCCAUCAAAACUCAUUAUUUAUGCUGUCAGAGUAUACAUACAAAUAGAACAAAACUUUCAACAACGGAUCUCUUGGUUCUGGCAUCGAUGAAGAACGCAGC
rnacentral:misc_RNA from 1 species